ACUCCUACGGGAGGCAGCAGUGGGGAAUCUUAGACAAUGGGGGCAAGCCCUCGAUCUAGCCAUGCCGCGUGAGUGAUGAAGGCCCUAGGGUUGUAAAAGCUCUUUCAGCUGGGAAGAUAAUGACGGUACCAGCAGAAGAAGCCCCGGCUAACUCCGUGCCAGCAGCCGCGGUAAUACGGAGGGGGCUAGCGUUGUUCGGAAUUACUGGGCGUAAAGCGCACGUAGGCGGAUUGGAAAGUUAGAGGUGAAAUCCCA
rnacentral:rRNA from 1 species